AUGAGUGAGACAGAAAGAUUAUUAAUGGAAGAAGAAGAUAUUCAUACCAAGGAUGGAACAAUAGAUUACCAAAACAGGCCUGCAAUCAAGAAGAACACAGGAACAUGGAAAGCUUGCCCUUAUAUUCUAGGAAAUGAAUGCUGUGAAAGAUUGGCUUACUAUGGGAUCAACACAAAUCUGGUUAAUUACCUCAAGUUUCAACUGAACCAGAGGAAUGUGGUUGCUGUCAAUAAUGUCACAAAUUGGUCAGGCACUUGCUAUGUGACCCCAUUGCUUGGAGCAUUUCUAGCUGAUGCAUACUUAGGAAGAUACUGGACAAUUGCUGCCUUCUCCAUCAUCUAUGUUUUUGGAAUGACAUUGUUGACCUUAUCUGCAUCACUUCAAGGACUAAAACCUCCCUGUGACACAAACAAUGUGUGUCAUCCAACAGGGUUACAAGCAGGGGUGUUUUUUAUGGGGCUUUACCUCAUAGCACUUGGAACUGGAGGCAUAAAGCCUUGUGUCUCAUCAUUUGGGGCAGACCAAUUUGACGACUCUGAUGAGGCUGAGAAAAAGAACAAGGGAUCCUUCUUCAACUGGUUCUAUUUCUCAAUCAACAUUGGUGCCCUUGUGGCUUCCUCUGUGCUUGUGUGGAUACAAACAAACGUUGGAUGGAGUUGGGGCUUUGGCAUCCCAGCUGUGGCCAUGGCACUUGCUGUUGUGAGCUUCUUUUUGGGUACCCGGUUGUAUCGAAACCAGAGGCCUGGUGGGAGUCCCCUGACUCGCAUUUGUCAAGUGUUUGUUGCAUCCUUCGGGAAAUUCAGAGUAAAAGUUCCUGGUGACAAGUCUCUGUUGUAUGAAACUGCUGAUGAGGAACCUGUAGUCAAAGGAAGCAGAAAGCUUGAUCAUACAGAAGAGUUAAGUUUCUUGGAUAAGGCCGCGGUCGAGACUCCAUCAGAUAAAAUCAAAGACUCAGUGAUGGCAUGGAGACUCUGCACUGUGACCCAAGUUGAGGAGCUCAAGUCCCUAGUAAAGUUGCUUCCCAUAUGGGCAACUGGCAUAAUCUUCUCAGCAGUCUACAGUCAAAUGGGGACAUUGUUUGUGCUCCAAGGCAACACAAUGGACCUCCACGUCACCAAAUCCUUUGAAAUCCCAUCUGCCUCACUCUCCCUCUUUGACACAAUCAGUGUCAUCUUCUGGGUUCCUGUUUAUGACCGUUUGAUAGUUCCAUUUGUGAGAAAAUUCACAAAAAGAAACAAUGGCUUCACCCAACUCCAGAGAAUAGCAAUUGGGCUUGUGAUCUCCAUUUUUGCCAUGUUGGCAGCAGGGACUUUGGAGCUUGUGAGACUAAAUGAAGUGAGAAAGCACAAUUAUUAUGACCUCAAGCACAUGCCCAUGUCCAUAUUUUGGCAGGUUUUUCACCUUCAUUGGGCAAUUGGAGUUUUUUUAUGAGCAGGCUCCUGAUGCCAUGAGGAGCUUGUGUUCUGCUCUUUCUCUCACAACUGCUGCUUUGGGCAGCUAUUUGAGCACCAUGCUUGUCAAUAUUGUGACUGAUGUGAGCACCAGAGAUGGCAAGGCUGGUUGGAUACCAGAUAACUUGAAUUAUGGUCACCUUCACUACUUUUUCUGGCUUUUGGCUUGCUUGAGUGUGAUGAAUUUAGGGUUCUAUCUUUUGGUUGCUAGAUGGCACACUUACAAGAGGGCAGUGGUGCCUAAUCAUUGA